GACGAACGCUGGCGGCGUGCCUAACACAUGCAAGUCGAGCGGUUCAGAUGUCGGAAGUCAGAGGUCAGAAGUCGGGAAUAGAAGGCUUUGGCAAAGCCAAAGCCAACAAGAAAAUCCGAUUUCCGAUUUCCGACUUCCGACAUCUGGAUAGCGGCGGACGGGUGAGUAACACGUAGGCAACCUACCCAUCACACGGGGAUAGCCCGGGGAAACCCGGGGUAAUACCCGAUACCUUUACUUACCGCAUGGUAAGUGAAGAAAGCGACUAAGCGGUGAUGGAUGGGCCUGCGGCCCAUUAGCUAGUUGGCGGGAUAACAGCCCACCAAGGCGACGAUGGGUAGCCGACCUGAGAGGGUGGCCGGCCACACUGGGACUGCGACACGGCCCAGACUCCUACGGGAGGCAGCAGUGGGGGAUAUUGCGCAAUGGGGGAAACCCUGACGCAGCGACGCCGCGUGAGCGAAGAAGGCCUUCGGGUUGUAAAGCUCAGUCAUCGGGGACGAAUAGGACGGUACCCGAGGAGGAAGCCCCGGCUAACUACGUGCCAGCCGCCGCGGUAAUAC
rnacentral:rRNA from 1 species